CUCCAUUAUGGAAUGUGCUCAUCCUUGGUUUUCAUCACAGUCUGCCCAUAGGAGUCUUUGUCCUGUCCUGCCUCAAGUCAGUGCCACACAAUUGGACCUUUCACAAUUGGACACAAGGAAUGAUUUAUCAAAUUGGAGAGGUGGCAAAAAACUGACAACUCUGCCAACUAGGAGCGAAUCAUUGAGAUGGCAUUUUAGCAGUGUUGGCCUAUCUUUCUCAUUUUUGUGAACCACCUGGUUCUACACAUAGUGGAGACCCAUGCUUCUAGACUCUACACUGUAAAGGGAUCAAGCAGAGAUUGGUCUUUGCUCCAUCACUGCCAGGACUGCCUGAUCACCAGUUCCUGAUCAGCACUCUUUCCAGUUUGGAGGCAUAUAGUGUUAAUCCUUGGGAUUGAAUCUGCUCAGCUUCUGUCUUCAGUACUGCUCCUAAUGUCUGGGUGCAGGCUUCACACCCAGUGCAGGGCUUGAACUCACAACCCUGAGAUCAAGACCUGAGCUGAUAUCAAGAGUCACAUGUUUAACUGAAGGAGCCACCCAGGCACCCGUCCCACCACCUUUCGAUUUGUAGUUUCUU